UACGGAGGGUGCAAGCGUUAUCCGGAUUCACUGGGUUUAAAGGGAGCGUAGGUGGGUUGGUAAGUCAGUGGUGAAAUCCCCGAGCUUAACUUGGGAACUGCCAUUGAUACUAUCAGUCUUGAAUAUUGUGGGGGUCAGCGGAAUAUGUCAUGUAGCGGUGAAAUGCUUAGAUAUGACAUAGAACACCAAUUGCGAAGGCAGCUGGCUACGCAUAUAUUGACACUGAGGCUCGAAAGCUAGGGGAGCAAACAGG
rnacentral:rRNA from 1 species